CACGUAGGGGACGAGCGUUGUUCGGAUUUACUGGGCGUAAAGGGCGCGUAGGCGGUCAGCACAAGUCAGUUGUGAAAUCUCCGGGCUUAACUCGGAAAGGUCAACUGAUACUGUGCGACUAGAGUGCAGAAGGGGCAACUGGAAUUCUCGGUGUAGCGGUGAAAUGCGUAGAUAUCGAGAGGAACACCUGCGGCGAAGGCGGGUUGCUGGGCUGACACUGACGCUGAGGCGCGAAAGCCAGGGGAGCGAACGGG
rnacentral:rRNA from 1 species